AUUUAGUUAGUAGGUAGGCUAAACGGUUUUUAAAUGUGUGCUAUAUCAGUACUUGUUAAGUAUUAAGUUUGGCUAGAAAAGCAAGAUGUGGUUUUGGGAACUGCAGCGUAGAGUGGUUUAGUUUUGGAAGCCUGUAUUCUGUCAUGCAGAGGCAGUUAGAAUUGGUCUCUGAGUAAAGAGAAUCUCUUUCAAGUACCUUGGGCCCAAUGUGAUUGAAUGCCACAAUCCUAAUAUAUCGGUAAGUAUUAAUUACAUCACUUUACUGUAGUACCUAUCCAGCCUAUAUUGCCCUUUCAUUUCUUUGAUAGGAAAGGUUCAUAAUACUUGAAUGGAGCUCGAUUGGAGAAUUUUGGGAGUGAAAUCCUUUUAAUCUAUUCAAGAUAAAGUGAGAUUUAUGGAGAGCAGUGUGGUAUAGUGGUUAAAGCAUGGGUCAGGAGACUUGGAUUCCAUCUUGGUUCUGCCACGGAGAUUAUAGGCAUACCAUGAGUAAAUUGCUUCCCUUCUCUGUGCCCCUGUUUUUCACUCCUAACCCCCUUUGCCAUGUCUGCUUAAAUUGUGGUUUCUUCUGCCCCUGGUGUAUCUGUGUACCGCAGCCCAGCACAAUAGAGUCUUAUCUUGUUUGAGUCCCCCAUUUGUUACCAACAUGCUGAAGAUCAUCAAAGGUGUGUAUAGACAGCACUGCAAGCAUCAUUUGGUGGGAGAUACCUUUAUUCCCUCCUUGCCAACAGAAGUGCUAACUCGUUCCAAUUAUAAUGGCACUUUUUGGUGAGAUGAACAUCUGUCACUGGGAAACAGGAGAGAAAUCAGCGGACUCAUUUCACAUAUGCCAUCAAGAAGCCAUUUGAAGGGAACAGCUUUCAGCUACAAAUAUCAGCUAGGCUAAAAUUGAACCCACUGCCUACAGGUGAAAGGCUCUAUAAAGCUUUACUAAUCCCCAGAGCCAUUCUAUCCCACUUAUAGGGUAUACUACAUUUAGUUUAAAUCACAUAGUCUUAGCCUCUUCUGGUUUGACAGCAUUUAAAUGUAGUAAACCUUUUCUCUUUCUCUUUUUCCUCUAAUUAUCUGCAGCAUUUGUUCCUCCUUAGGGAUUUUCCACUUUUUUUUGUUGCUUUAUACACUCCAUUCCCCCAGUUCCUUGUUCAUUCCCUGUAUUCCAUCCCACCUUUUCUCUUCCUCCCUGGUUUGAUAUAGCAUCUCACUGGUCCUGCUUCACACUAAGAGAAGGGGUAUUAGAUGGAGUCCCCAUAGAGUAUAAAUUGAACAGAGAGAAGUGGCUGGUUUCCCAGCAAUAAUUUAUCUGAUUAAAAAAUGUUCCCCACCCCCACUUCCCUCCUAGCCCUAAACCCCCUCAAAAAAAAGAAAAAGGAGAACCUUGGCAUCCAGGCUACUAUUUGAACUAUAUUAUUCAAAUUGCUUGAAGGGGGAUUUAGACGGAAAAAUAACUGUCGAAAGAUGGCUCUCCAGGGAAACAGCAUUAGCUCUGGAAUUUGGAAUAGGAGUUGUUGUGUGAAGAAGUGCAGAAAACGUAAAUAGUUCUGAGUCAAGUACCUCUGUGAUCUCCAACUCUGCUGUUGCUCUCCUUUUAAAAAUUUAUAUAAAAAAAUACACCAGUAGGCAGUGAAACAACAGUAAAGAAAGUAUUCCCUGAUCAAUAGUCAGCUUCUCUCUCUUUUUUUCUCCAUGCUUAGUGCAGGGUUCAGUCCAACUAAGAUCAAAACUCCAGUUCAUAAAGUACUUGUCUCCCUGUGUGUCACCUGGACAGGUUUUGUUGCCUCCUCCUCAGUACACUGGGGGGUCCCUGUUUCUUUGCCUUUCAAAAUCUUGGUUACUGGUACUUUAUUCAGAGACUGAAUCAACUCUGCAUGAUGGUUUCUGGGCCAGUGGGUGAAAUGCUGCCACGCCAGCUCUAAUCCUGAGUUUUGAACCUCAGGGUAAUCUCAACCAACUCACCAGUACUCAGUUCGUUAAAGUUGCUGCUGGCCAGCUCCUCUUGUGUCACCGUGGUUCCUCAGCAAGCACCAUGCUGGGAAGUCCCAGAGGCAGGGAAGACCUGCUGCAUUAUUGAAAUGUUCAUGCCAACACAGGAAGAUUCAUUAUUAAGUAGAUUCUGCAUUAUUACACGGUGCUCCUGACAAGCACCCUAACGCUACCCCAUAGGACAGCUCCACAAUCCAUCAUGACUGUCUGGGAUCUGUGACAACCCAGAGUGAUACGUGCUGGGUCAUCAGAACAGAGUAGGAGCAGCACAGCGUGACUUCAGGAGCCUAAAAAUAGGUACAAUAAUUUUUGAGCUGAAGGCUUUCUCCCCACCCCCUUCCUCCCCCAGCCCUUGCCAUUUGGUAUACUCAGCACAUAAUUGUCAAGAUAACUUAAAAAAAACACAAAACGCAUCUCCCUAUAGAAAUGAGCAUGUUUAUUAGUAGACAUUGUCGCUUUGGUGGCAGGAUGAGUUAUGGUAUUGCACACUGAAAUAACUCCACGUGACUUCCAGUGACACAAUGCCUUACAGGUUUUCUGUGAGCAGUGGGCGUGGAAAGGAGCGCUAGUCAUCUGCCUCGCUAUGGGGUGAAGAAUCAGAUACGGCCAGAGACAUGCUAUAAAAUGAGGAGCCAAAUUCCUUUUUGCUGGAUGGCUGCUCAAGUACUUGGAGUCACUGUGAAUUGACUGAUUGAGCUGUGAAUAUAGCGCGUUAUAUUUUUCCUCUAGAUUGUUUCUUCCCUUUAUUCUGUUACUCUGUAAAUCUCAUUCGUACUUACCACACUUUUUUUUUUUUUUUUAAAGUUUACUCAUUGGACUAUGUGCUAGACCCAGUCUCUGCCAAGCCUAAAUAAACUGCAUUUAUAAAGGAACCCUGAUUAUUCUGGACAGGAGGGGUUUGAUUCACAGAAGUGGUAUUCUUUGAAAAGGUCUGUUCCUUUGGUAGUGACUUGUUUGAAAUAGAUUCUACUUUACUGUGCCUGUUAAGCUGUUCUCAAGGCCACACAAAGGAGGAAGGAUUGUAUAAGGCUGUAUAAAUCAAAGUUUGUUAUAGGAAUGUCAAACACUGCAGCACACUGGUGUGUUAAUAGCAAGCAGACAAGAAGUGUGGUAGUAGUCAGAGACAGUUAGCAGAAGCAAUGAAGCUAGAGAGUCCAAUUCUCAAAGCUGUCUACAACAGCUGGGUCCAGCAGACCCAGAUGUAAUUCUGUUGCUGCUGUGGGGAGACUGACCAACCCCCACAGCACAUUGUUAAAGGACUCCAGUGGUCAGAUGGGAAGGGCCUGGGGCUGUCUUUCUGGUCUAAAUCGCUACCAUUAGAUAGGCUCUAGAAAUGAUGCGAUGGGGCAGAUGUUCAUCUCACCAAAAAGUUCCAUUAUAAUUGGAAUUAGUUAGCACCUGUUCUGCUCUCACUAAGACAGAAAUCACUCUAUGGAAGUCACUGGAGAUGUAGUGGGGUGAACUAGUGAGAGGGUAAUUGGGACCCUGAGCAGAAGAUGGUAAGGUGACCCUGUCUGAGGUUCUCUCUGGUUAGUUCAUUUUGCCACUAAGAUCAAAUGUAGUAUGAUCCAACAGCCUGGGACCCCGGCAAUGAGAGUGUCCUGUGUGCCUGCUGCGUCUCCUGCUGCUACGCCAAGCAGAUGCGCUGCCUCAUGGUGUCCAACACGAUCUGCUGGUCCUGCAACAUCUACGUAGAGCACAUCACGGGCUAUCACCAAUACACCAACCCCACCAGACCAACCGCCACCGGACCAGACCCAGAGGGGGCCACCUGAACCCCCCUCUGAACCUAAUGGACUCCAAGAGGAACCUUCAACAAUGGACCACCCCGCUGUACCCAAAGAGGACCCCCGCGAUGAGACUCUAUAUGGACUGAGACUCUUUCACCAACCCACUUCCUCCACCAUUGCGGAUCAUUGUACGGGUUUGUGUGCAUCUAUCUUCUUUCUCUCUCAGCGUCGCAAACCCCCUGCCUCCCCUUCCCCCACCCCCUCCUUUGCCCCUGGGCUUAGUUGGCUAAUAUUGUAUGUUCUGUAACCUAGUUGCAUUCCCCUCCUCACCGCCAUCCCUCUAAUGUUACUUCCUCACUCUGGUAAUCUGUAUUUCCCUACUGGCUUUGUCAUCUUUUUGGUUCAUGACUCUUAAUAUCCACUAAUAAAAUUCACUCUGUUCUUAUCUCCUC